GAUGAACGCUGGCGGCGUGCCUUAUACAUGCAAGUCGAGUGGGUUUAGACCCACGGCAAACGGGUGAGAAACCCGUAGGUACUUUCCUUGUCACAGGAAUACCCCCCCGAAAGAAGGGUUAAUACCUGAUGUGACCGCAAGAUAAAAGGUUACCGGCAAGGAUUACCGGACAAGAAGAGGCCUGCGGCCUAUCAGCUAGUUGGCGGGGUAAAUGCCCACCAAGGCUAUGACGGGUAGCUGGUCUUAUGAGGAUGAUCAGUCACAUGGGCACUGAGACACGGGCCCAACUCCUACGGGAGGCAGCAGUAGGGAAUUUUGCGCAAUGGGCGAAAGCCUGACGCAGCGACGCCGCGUGCGGGAUGAAGGCCUUCGGGUCGUAAACCGCUUUUAUAAGGGACGAACUUUGACGGUACCUUAUGAAUAAGGGGUUGCUAACUCUGUG
rnacentral:rRNA from 1 species